CAAAGAGGGCGAUCUGGCUGCGACAUCUGUCACUCCAUUGAUUGCUAGGGUUGAGUCAGCUGAUCUGACUGGCCAGAUUGGUGUACCCUUCCUCCCUCACCGCUCCAUGUGCAUUCCUCCCAAUGCUGUGCACUCGGUGGUAGAGGAUGAGCAUCCCAGGUAGGAGUGUUUAACAUAUUUAAAGUCUGUUUGCCUUGCCUUGCCUUGUGUCAACUUGCCUCACCUCAAAUGCGCAACAUGGCAUAUCAUGACUAGCAAAUUU
rnacentral:sRNA from 1 species